GAUGAACGCUGGCGGCGUGCUUAACACAUGCAAGUCGAACGAUGAACCUCACUUGUGGGGGGAUUAGUGGCGAACGGGUGAGUAACACGUGAGUAACCUGCCCUUGACUCUGGGAUAAGCCUGGGAAACUGGGUCUAAUACCGGAUAUGACUGAUCAUCGCAUGGUGGUUGGUGGAAAGCUUUUGCGGUUUUGGAUGGACUCGCGGCCUAUCAGCUUGUUGGUGGGGUAAUGGCCUACCAAGGCGACGACGGGUAGCCGGCCUGAGAGGGUGACCGGCCACACUGGGACUGAGACACGGCCCAGACUCCUACGGGAGGCAGCAGUGGGGAAUAUUGCACAAUGGGCGGAAGCCUGAUGCAGCGACGCCGCGUGAGGGAUGACGGCCUUCGGGUUGUAAACCUCUUUCAGUAGGGAAGAAGCGUAAGUGACGGUACCUGCAGAAGAAGCGCCGGCUAACUACGUGCCAGCAGCCGCGGUAAUACGUAGGGCGCAAGCGUUAUCCGGAAUUAUUGGGCGUAAAGAGCUCGUAGGCGGUUUGUCGCGUCUGCCGUGAAAGUCCGGGGCUCAACUCCGGAUCUGCGGUGGGUACGGGCAGACUAGAGUGGUGUAGGGGAGACUGGAAUUCCUGGUGUAGCGGUGAAAUGCGCAGAUAUCAGGAGGAACACCGAUGGCGAAGGCAGGUCUCUGGGCAUUAACUGACGCUGAGGAGCGAAAGCAUGGGGAGCGAACAGGAUUAGAUACCCUGGUAGUCCAUGCCGUAAACGUUGGGCACUAGGUGUGGGGGACAUUCCACGUUUUCCGCGCCGUAGCUAACGCAUUAAAUGCCCCGCCUGGGGAGUACGGCCGCAAGGCUAAAACUCAAAGGAAUUGACGGGGGCCCGCACAAGCGGCGGAGCAUGCGGAUUAAUUCGAUGCAACGCGAAGAACCUUACCAAGGCUUGACAUGGACCGGAAACGCCUGGAAACAGGUGCCCCACUUGUGGUCGGUUUACAGGUGGUGCAUGGUUGUCGUCAGCUCGUGUCGUGAGAUGUUGGGUUAAGUCCCGCAACGAGCGCAACCCUCGUUCUAUGUUGCCAGCACGUGAUGGUGGGGACUCAUAGGAGACUGCCGGGGUCAACUCGGAGGAAGGUGGGGACGACGUCAAAUCAUCAUGCCCCUUGUGUCUUGGGCUUCACGCAUGCUACAAUGGCCGGUACAAAGGGUUGCGAUACUGUGAGGUGGAGCUAAUCCCAAAAAGCCGGUCUCAGUUCGGAUUGGGGUCUGCAACUCGACCCCAUGAAGUCGGAGUCGCUAGUAAUCGCAGAUCAGCAACGCUGCGGUGAAUACGUUCCCGGGCCU
rnacentral:rRNA from 1 species